UCAGGAGAGGCUUGUAGCAAGCCCCGGAUUUCCCCUGCCCGCGAGACCGACGACACGGAGCAAAGCUCCGGUGAGUUUUCUUCCAUUUUUCCCGUCGAGAUUUGCUUCGGAAUCGUUGUGGGUGAGCACACCCAUUUUUUCGACGAACCCGUGCACUCCGUGGGCUUUUCCGGUCACCUUCGACCGAGUUACGGUGUUUGGAAGGUAAAGUUGCUAGUGGAGAAAUUCUAUAUCCUUAUUCGCACGACUCUUCUGCUAAGGAAUAUUUCCCUCUUUAUAGUGUAGACGAUGAUCGGUCAUAGAAACGAGGACUACGACUGGACGUACGAGGCAUUCCCCUACCAGUAGCACUAUCACCCACUUGUGUGAUAUCUUGUAAUGUUCUUUCUUUUUUUGUAAAUCUCGUUUUAAAUUGUGUCUAGUUUGUUCUAGACACUUCCUUGAACGUUGUUUAUUACUCUUAAAUUCUGAUGUUAUUCAUGAAUAUUUUCUUCUAAUCAUUACUCUUAUAAUCAAUUAAUGGCUUUCGUCACCUUGGGUGUCGG
rnacentral:sRNA from 1 species